GCCCAGACUCCUACGGGAGGCAGCAGUGGGGAAUAUUGCACAAUGGGGGAAACCCUGAUGCAGCGACGCCGCGUGAAGGAAGAAGUAUCUCGGUAUGUAAACUUCUAUCAGCAGGGAAGAAAACAGACGGUACCUGACUAAGAAGCCCCGGCUAACUACGUGCCAGCAGCCGCGGUAAUACGUAGGGGGCAAGCGUUAUCCGGAUUUACUGGGUGUAAAGGGAGCGUAGACGGCAGCGCAAGUCUGAAGUGAAAUGCCGGGGCUUAACCCCGGAACUGCUUUGGAAACUGUGCAGCUAGAGUGCAGGAGAGGUAAGUGGAAUUCCUAGUGUAGCGGUGAAAUGCGUAGAUAUUAGGAGGAACACCAGUGGCGAAGGCGGCGUACUGGACAGUAACUGACGUUGAGGCUCGAAAGCGUGGGGAGCAAACAGGAUUAGAUACCCCUGUAAAA
rnacentral:rRNA from 1 species